UAUAGUUCUUAUUAUAAUUAUUUUUUUUUGAAUAGAGUUGUUAUCAGAUUCAAAGAUUGAAGAAGAUAAGUUUUCUUCACAUUUUAUUAAUGAACAGAAUAAAACCAAGCAAAGUUCACAUUGUCAAAGAAUUUCAAGUUUUAAUAUGAGUACUUUUGGUUUUUACACCACGGAAUGUUAAUGUGGAGAGAUGCAAAAUGUUAUUCUCAAGGAGCUUGCAGAAAUAAAACUUCUUUUAAAAGAAGUUAUAGAAAUUAAAUUUCAGGCUACUGAGGUGAAGUUGCUAGAAUCAGUGGAAGAAGUGGUUACACUGGAUAAUAAACUAAAAGAUAAAACUGAGUAUACUAAUUUGCUUGAUAGUUUAAAAAAGAUAGGUGGUGGAAAGCCAAGAGAACAUAUUUUUUUGAUCAUGAAAAGGUUAUUUUCGAAUCAGUUACAGUCCAAAUUAAAUCGAAAAGGAAAUGGGGAAAAGAUAAGCUUAGAAAAUCUAGUAAAUAUAUGAAGUGUUUUACGAGAUAUAAGCGACGUGGAAGAAAAUGUUGACGGUAAUGCAGAAAUAUAGUUUCUUAUGUAUAUUUUUAUGAAAUGAAAGUUAAGUAAUGUUA